rnacentral:rRNA from 1 species
UACGAAGGGGGCUAGCGUUGUUCGGAAUUACUGGGCGUAAAGCGCGCGCAGGUGGUCUUUCAAGUCAGUGGUGAAAGCCCGGAGCUCAACUCCGGAAAUGCCAUUGAAAUUGUAAGACUUGAGGAUGAGAGAGGUGAGUGGAAUUCCCAGUGUAGAGGUGAAAUUCGUAGAUAUUCGCAAGAACACCGGUGGCGAAGGCGGCCAACUGGACCAUCACUGACGCUGAGGCGCGAAAGCGUGGGGAGCAAACAGG